rnacentral:lncRNA from 1 species
CGUUUUGUUCUAAAGUCCUGCUUUGGUGGACUACAUCAAGCGUUUAUUGCUAGCGGAAGUGAGGACUCAAAGGUGAUUUCUCUUCACGUGUUGAUCUUUGAAGUUUAUUUUAUUUCCAAAAGCCAUGCAAUACAUCUCCUUUUAUCUUUUUUAACUUUCCAUUUGAUAUGCAUAAGUAGCUCCAGUCAAAAACAUUGAACUGUCUCAUCUAAAGUUGUUAGAGAAUGGACAAGUUUAUCUAAUUAGAGGUUGUCUUCAACAUGCACCGCAUAGCAGACCGGACUCAAUUUUCAUACUAAAUUUGGAGCCUGACCUGUGCAAAACUUUGUAGAUGGGUAGUGCAAGAUUUAAAUUUAGAACCUUUGCUUACCCUUGUGCUGUGUUGAAAAAGCUUAAACUUUUAGAUAAGGUGGUUCAACCAAACAGAAUUCCUAUUUCUCAAACAAUCUCAACAAAGAUGAUUGGUGCCAAAGUGAGAGUCACUUUCAAGUUGAGUUAUACUUUUGUCUUAAUUUGAAGUAAAAAACUACGAUAUCCAAACAUGUUUAGAAACAAAAAAGUUUCUAAGAAUUAAAUUCACCUUUUAAAACUUAGCCAAACAUGCUCUUUUCCACGAGAAAAUUAUACAGUCACCAUUUUGACUUCAAACCACUGGUAUUGCCACAGUUGUUACCUUCCCGGCCAGUCCUCCUUUACUACCAGUCCCCUGCCACUACUAGCCUCUACGUGAGGAAAUGCAUGCAUUAAAGGUUACACACCCUUGUACGCUUGACAUUCAAUGUAGAGGCAAGCAGAGUCAAAUGCCGAGCCUCUACCAGCAAAGGGGGACAGCCAUGCCAAUCCAAGCAGCAUUUCGUAUACAUAUAUCACUCAUGCAUAUGCCACAGUGACACAAAAUUCCAAAAAAUUGAAAAGUAUUGAUCAUAAGAAUAUAUGCUUAACAAUGUUUUCUAGUUAUUUCUCUUUACCCUGUUCUUCUUUGUUGGGGGACAAGGCGAGUAUGUUGAGGAUAGCUUAAGGGCCUUGAAAUAUUUAGUCCACAAAGGUAUAUUUUAAAAAACAAUGGAAACUUGUAUAAGCAAUUCAAUUUAAAAAUAUUUAAAAGGUCCGUGCCUGUUUACAUUUGUAGUGCCUGUUAUUGUUUUAUAGCAUUUACAUAGGAAAUAGGAGUUUCAUGUAUAAUAAGUAUUAUGAGUUGCUGAAUGUUAAUGGAUGAAAAGUCUACGGAUCAGUUGGUCAUAUUAUUUUGCCAUAUUCGUAUCCUUCAUUACAUCAAGGUACCAUAUAAAGAUUGAACUACAAUUGGAAUCUGUAUUCUGUCAAUUCAUUAUUGAAAGCCACACAUCGGAGUGGCAUAUACUGUCCCAGUUCUUGAAAUAAUAAUUCUGCCUAUGGUUCAGCUGGUCCUAUUCAUAUUCACUUAAGUAAAUUAAGCUAUGACAAAAAUUGGCUUCCUACCAUGAUUUUCUAACCUGCAGUAAUUGUGAUUACAUAUAAAUGCCACUAAAAUCAUCUUAAUUGGGUGCUAUCUAGAAUGUUAAUUCUUUAGUUACAAGAACUGGUAGGUGAAUGGUCUCAUGGGAUGGUGUGCAGCAUGGAAAGGAUAGACUCCUAUGGAAUGCUUUAUUGAAAGGAAUAUAGCAACUAGGAUUGUAUAGACUACAUGUAAGUGCCUAUCUGUGUAUGAGAAAAAGAAAGAAAAACAAAGUAUAUUAUCAUAAUGAAAUUUUGUUAUUACACUGUACAUAGUUUACUAUAAUGGAAAAUGUAUUUGAUGAUUAACUUCCCUAUCUUUCCACAAAACGUCAACCUUUAGUAUUAUUUUUUAUGUGCACAGGGUAUUAAAAGAUUCUUCAUGUUAUUUUAACUUUCUUGAAACACCAUUUGUCUUUUUGCUUUGGGAACGCUGGUUGACAUCUUGAUCACAUGAUUGUAUCAACAAUUCUUAGGUCCGGCAAAAACUGUAUUGGUUUGGUAUAUCUUAUUACCUCCUCCAUCAUUCCUGUUUCGUAAGAUUUCCACGAAGGGACCCAUUCCUCCAUGAUUCCACUUGAUUCCUGUCCCCAUUUUCUGUCUUCCUGGUUCAAGGUGUCUAAAUGUUUUAAAUAGAACUCUUGUAUUUAUGGAUUCUAAGAGGAUCUUAUUGGUUUCAUUUGGUAAAAUUAAUGCAAAAUGUUCUUGGAAAGAUACUGAUGGUUUCACCUUCUGUAGGUUUAUAUAUGGCACCGAGUCUCAGGAGAGCUCGUUUUGACGUUGUCUGGACAUUCUGGGGCUGUCAACUGUGUUAGUUGGAAUCCUGCUAAUCCUCACAUGCUGGCUUCCGCAAGUGAUGACCGUACAAUUCGCAUAUGGGGCUUGAAUCGGGUAUGUUUAAAUCACGAUGAUAAGCACAGUAAUGGCACCUAUCACUGCAAUGGUGGAACUUGAAGUUGGGGACGAGAAACACUGUCUAUCAUUGUAUUUCUUAACAAAUUGGUUUAUGUAAAUUUUUUUACUUCAACAUUCAGUUGACAUAUAAUGAACAAGAAUUUGAACAUGCAUUCACCAGGACAAUAAACUGUGUACUUCGUUUCCAUGUUUUCAUCUGCUGACCGAUGACCAAAAAGACUGAUGAUAAAGAUAAAAUAUGGGAAAAGUAAUUGUUGAAUUAUUGAUGCUAUGCCAAAGAGAGAAAAUAGAACACACCUGUUCACUCUACACAAUGGAUUAAAGUACACUGGUGGUGAAAGAACUUCAAUAAAAUUCCACGUUGGUCGAUUGAACUUCAUUUUGUUUCAAGUUGGUCAUUGAAAAACUUUUUUUAAAGGUGGUUGCUCCAGCCAUAUCCGUUAGCUUGAUUAAUGCAAAAUUGUCAUGUCAGCUUUUCCUUUAAUCGGACUAUGGACGAAAUGACCAAAUUAUAGGAAAUGUGCUUGUAGGGUGACCAACUUGGAACGAAAUAACUAUUUGUUCAUGACUGCCUUGAACAUGUCUGGCGUUGCCCUUUUAAUGCUUUGUCUAUAAUAAAGCUUUUAGAAAGGCAGGUGUGAGAUCUCUUUUCCAUUUCGUGUCCAGUCCAACCUACCAAAUAUGCCCUCGAUAUAAGCGUUUGACAUGUUGAGUAGUUCGGCUACAUUUUCCUUUUACUUGUUUUUGCUUCUUACAUUGCUAUGUUUUAUUACUCAUUGCAUUUUCCGGUAUAAUUUGGUGAAUUUGAUGAAAAGGUGUAAAUAAACUAGACGAAACUAAGCGUCAUGUCUAUGUAGGUUAGGAUUGAUUGCAACUACCACGAUCGUGUUUGUUAGUGUGCAUUCUUCGUGUUAGCUAUACGAAUUUACUUGUAUCCCUGAUUGGUACUUAAUUUUUACGUAUGUUGCUUGGGAUGAACCUAAUGAAGAAAGGUUAUUCGAAAGUAGUGUAAGCAAGAUGAAAGUUAUAAGCCGGCAUCUUAAUUGCUAAGACUUGGCACCAAAAAGUUGUUAACGAUGACCCUUGAACAAGUUCCUUCACUUGAGUCGUAAUAAAAUCCGAAUAGAGGGGAAUUAUAACUAAUCAGAGAUAGUGUCUUCUUGUUUUACAUCAAGGCAACUCAUUGAAGAGACUUCAUCGUGUGCAAAAAUAGUGCUGAAUUAUCCAUAUUAGCUUUCUCCAAGUUUUGAACAACUCAAUUCAUCAAAGAUCAUAUUUAUAAGUGAAAUUACAUACAAAUAAUCCACAUCCCAUAUCAAGCAAUUUUGAAUGAACUUGCUGUGCUCUCCACAAAUUUCCUCGCACCUUUGAACCAUCUCUUGUCUCCAGCUUGAGCCUUGCAAAUGUAUAGCUUCCCAUCAGAGACUGUGGCUGAGAUCAGUUGGUGUUUGCCGCCCUCAUCUCCGUCAGCCGUCCUCGUCAGCACAGAUAAGAAAUAGUACUUUUUUCCACCAAUAACUUGGGUGUCUGUCUCCAAUAUGUUUGCAGUUGCCACAGCAUUGGCAUCAAAUCCACCCUAUAAUUAUAACUUCAAUCAGAUUCCAUAAGAACGGUUUAUAUGGAAAGGACAGAACUGAUAUCCUGCCUAGAAGAUAUCUUGCCCAACGAUGAGAUGACAAAAUAUUUAAACAUGUAUAUAUAGAAAAAGGAAUGUUUUCGAUGCAUUUGUGAUUUACCUCUGCAUCAGUUUUUCCGAAGUAGGCUUGCUUUCCUAGGAGAUAGUCCACCUGAAAUUAUUGACGUCAAAAUUUCAUCAACUCACAAUUAUCUGACAUAGAAAGUCAUAGAAUAUGAUAUUGAGACGCGUCAUUCAAAUAACCUAUAAAUGGGAAGUGUGUUGAAGUUAACAAACUCCAACAGCUUAAAUUUUUAGAUUGAAAAUUAUUACCUUGGUGAGGAACUCUUCAGGAGAACCAUAGUCAGUGAUAGAUUUCUUGUCAGUAGAGGUUACCAUAACAGAUACAUUGCUGGUGGCAUCAAAAUUGUCCUCAUACCUCAGAACCUGACCAGGGAACUCUCUUUCUUUGCUUGGAUUCCACUUUGAGGGAAUUGAUAACUUGAAUCCGUCUCCAUCAUAGGGCAAGAAAUCUGUGUUUUCCUUUGGCUUCCCAAAAAUGUUAGCUGCAAUUCAAUCAUUCAAAUACACAGAUUAAAUAUCGAGUGAGAGAAUAUAACGCUCCUGUGCACAAAUAGACAUUAAGGGAUUCGAGGUAUUACCAGCUUGGCCGUAGGCUGCAUCGGCAGGGGAAACCUUGGAGCCUAUAGCAGCAGCACCAAUUAGGAUGGUGAGAGCCAAUCUACGAGAGAUAGGAAAAGAAUUGUUGUCAUCAUCCUGUUUGUGGGCGCGGCAAACUAAGUGGCUAGGCUUGAACGACGGCGCAUAACGUUGAGAUGAUGAUCUGGUACUAGUAGAGAGUACAUUGGGGUUCAAGAAGCAUGCAGUUGAAGCCAUUACUGUUUUCUCUGCUCCUUUUCCACGAGAAAAUUAUACAGUCACCAUUUUGACUUCAAACCACUGGUAUUGCCACAGUUGUUACCUUCCCGGCCAGUCCUCCUUUACUACCAGUCCCCUGCCACUACUAGCCUCUACGUGAGGAAAUGCAUGCAUUAAAGGUUACACCCUUGUACGCUUGACAUUCAUGUAGAGGCAAGCAGAGUCAAAUGCCGAGCCUCUACCAGCAAAGGGGGACUGCCAUGCCAAUCCAAGCAGCAUUUCGUAUACAUAUAUCACUCGUGCAUAUGCCACAGUGACACAAAAUUCCAAAAAAUUGAAAAGUAUUGAUCAUAAGAAUAUAUGCUUAACAAUGUUUUCUAGUUAUUUCUCUUUACCCUGUUCUUCUUUGUUGGGGGACAAGGCGAGUAUGUUGAGGAUAGCUUAAGGGCCUUGAAAUAUUUAGUCCACAAAGGUAUAUUUUAAAAAACAAUGGAAACUUGUAUAAGCAAUUCAAUUUAAAAAUAUUUAAAAGGUCCGUGCCUGUUUACAUUUGUAGUGCCUGUUAUUGUUUUAUAGCAUUUACAUAGGAAAUAGGAGUUUCAUGUAUAAUAAGUAUUAUGAGUUGCUGAAUGUUAAUGGAUGAAAAGUCUACGGAUCAGUUGGUCAUAUUAUUUUGCCAUAUUCGUAUCCUUCAUUACAUCAAGGUACCAUAUAAAGAUUGAACUACAAUUGGAAUCUGUAUUCUGUCAAUUCAUUAUUGAAAGCCACACAUCGGAGUGGCAUAUCCUGUCCCAGUUCUUGAAAUAAUAAUUCUGCCUAUGGUUCAGCCGGUCCUAUUCAUAUUCACUUAAGUAAAUUAAGCUAUGACAAAAAUUGGCUUCCUACCAUGAUUUUCUAACCUGCAGUAAUUGUGAUUACAUAUAAAUGCCACUAAAAUCAUCUUAAUUGGGUGCUAUCUAGAAUGUUAAUUCUUUAGUUACAAGAACUGGUAGGUGAAUGGUCUCAUGGGAUGGUGUGCAGCAUGGAAGGGAUAGACUCCUAUGGAAUGCUUUAUUGAAAGGAAUAUAGCAACUAGGAUUGUAUAGACUACAUGUAAGUGCCUAUCUGUGUAUGAGAAAAAGAAAGAAAAACAAAGUAUAUUAUCAUAAUGAAAUUUUGUUAUUACACUGUACAUAGUUUACUAUAAUGGAAAAUGUAUUUGAUGAUUAACUUCCCUAUCUUUCCACAAAACGUCAACCUUUAGUAUUAUUUUUUAUGUGCACAGGGUAUUAAAAGAUUCUUCAUGUUAUUUUAACUUUCUUGAAACACCAUUUGUCUUUUUGCUUUGGGAACGCUGGUUGACAUCUUGAUCACAUGAUUGUAUCAACAAUUCUUAGGUCCGGCAAAAACUGUAUUGGUUUGGUAUAUCUUAUUAACUCCUCCAUCAUUCCUGUUUCGUAAGAUUUCAACGAAGGGACCCAUUCCUCCAUGAUUCCACUUGAUUCCUGUCCCCAUUUUCUGUCUUCCUGGUUCAAGGUGUCUAAAUGUUUUAAAUAGAACUCUUGUAUUUAUGGAUUCUAAGAGGAUCUUAUUGGUUUCAUUUGGUAAAAUUAAUGCAAAAUGUUCUUGGAAAGAUACUGAUGGUUUCACCUUCUGUAGGUUUAUAUAUGGCACCGAGUCUCAGGAGAGCUCGUUUUGACGUUGUCUGGACAUUCUGGGGCUGUCAACUGUGUUAGUUGGAAUCCUGCUAAUCCUCACAUGCUGGCUUCCGCAAGUGAUGACCGUACAAUUCGCAUAUGGGGCUUGAAUCGGGUAUGUUUAAAUCACGAUGAUAAGCACAGUAAUGGCACCUAUCACUGCAAUGGUGGAACUUGAAGUUGGGGACGAGAAACACUGUCUAUCAUUGUAUUUCUUAACAAAUUGGUUUAUGUAAAUUUUUUUACUUCAACAUUCAGUUGACAUAUAAUGAACAAGAAUUUGAACAUGCAUUCACCAGGAC